rnacentral:rRNA from 1 species
GACGAACGCUGGCGGCGUGCUUAACACAUGCAAGUCGAACGGAAAGGCCCUGCUUUUGUGGGGUGCUCGAUUGGCGAACGGGUGAGUAACACGUGAGUAACCUGCCCUUGACUUUGGGAUAACUCCACGAAACUGGGGCUAAUACCGGAUAGGAGCUCCUGCUGCAUGGUGGGGGUUGGAAAGUUUCGGCGGUUGGGGAUGGACUCGCGGCUUAUCAGCUUGUUGGUGGGGUAGUGGCUUACCAAGGGUUUGACGGGUAGCCGGCCUGAGAGGGUGACCGGCCACAUUGGGACUGAGAUACGGCCCAGACUCCUACGGGAGGCAGCAGUGGGGAAUAUUGCACAAUGGGCGGAAGCCUGAUGCAGCAACGCCGCGUGCGGGAUGACGGCCUUCGGGUUGUAAACCGCUUUCGCCUGUGACGAAGCGUGAGUGACGGUAAUGGGUAAAGAAGCACCGGCUAACUACGUG